UACGGGGGGGGGCAAGCGUUGUUCGGAAUUACUGGGCGUAAAGGGCUCGUAGGCGGCCAACUAAGUCGGACGUGAAAUCCCUCGGCUUAACUGGGGAACUGCGUCCGAUACUGGAUGGCUCGAGUUUGGGAGAGGGAUGCGGAAUUCCAGGUGUAGCGGUGAAAUGCGUAGAUAUCAGGAGGAACACCGGUGGCGAAGGCGGGUCUCUGGGCAGUAACUGACGCUGAGGAGCGAAAAGCGUGGGGGAGCGAACAGG
rnacentral:rRNA from 1 species